UAGGGAAUCUUCCACAAUGGACGCAAGUCUGAUGGAGCAACGCCGCGUGAGUGAAGAAGGUCUUCGGAUCGUAAAACUCUGUUGUUAGAGAAGAACACGAGUGAGAGUAACUGUUCAUUCGAUGACGGUAUCUAACCAGCAAGUCACGGCUAACUACGUGCAAG
rnacentral:rRNA from 1 species